rnacentral:rRNA from 1 species
UACAGAGGUCUCAAGCGUUGUUCGGAUUCAUUGGGCGUAAAGGGUGCGUAGGCGGCGCGGUAAGUCGGGUGUGAAAUCUCGGAGCUUAACUCCGAAACUGCAUUCGAUACUGCCGUGCUUGAGGACUGGAGAGGAGACUGGAAUUUACGGUGUAGCGGGUGAAAAUGCGUAGAUAUCGUAAGGAAGACCAGUGGCGAAGGCGGGUCUCUGGACAGUUCCUGACGCUGAGGCACGAAGGCCAGGGGAGCAAACGGG